rnacentral:rRNA from 1 species
AUGCCGCAGCACUUCUGGUCUGUGGAGGGGGCUGAGGAGGCGCUCGGCUGUCGCGUUGACCGCCUCGACAGCCGCACGUUCGAGCGCAGCCACACCAAGAGUUUCGCCUGCUGGGUCUGGGUAUGGGACAUCGGCCUCAUCCCGACCAAGCACACCUUCUGGCUGAUGCAGAGCGGGGCGGGCAGAGUGGAGGAGAUGCUGGGCUUUUCGCCGCCCGGCCGCGUCGUCGCUGCGCCGCCGUCUGCAAGCCGCCACGACGUCCUCAUCCACGUCGAUCGCAUCGAGGACUGG